rnacentral:lncRNA from 1 species
AUGCCAACAGCAGUUGAGGGCAGGGAGCAGCUUUGGGCUAUAGGGGAUCUUUGGAUUUGAAGAAAAGAAUCAAAUUCCUUUCCACCCAAAAUAUGACAGCACCUGUGGUCC